rnacentral:sRNA from 1 species
UUCACAUGACAAGAUAUUGACACCUUGAUUUUGAAUUAGCUGUUAGAAAUUCAUGUUUUAGAAGUCAUAAUUAGAAAUUAGGUGCAAUAGGUUAUUAUUAUUAUUUUGUGUGUGUGUGUGUGUGUGGUCUGGGGUUUGAACCCAGGGCCUUGUGCAUGUGAGGCAAGCACUAUACCAACUGAGCUAUAUCCCCAGCCUGCAACAGGUUAAUGAAA